rnacentral:rRNA from 1 species
AUUGAACGCUGGCGGCAUGCCUUACACAUGCAAGUCGAACGGUAACGGGCCUUCGGGUGCCGACGAGUGGCGAACGGGUGAGUAAUGUAUCGGAACGUACCUUUCAGUGGGGGAUAACGCAGCGAAAGUUACGCUAAUACCGCAUAUUCUGUGAGCAGGACAGCAGGGGAUCGCAAGACCUUGCGCUGAUUGAGCGGCCGAUAUCAGAUUAGCUAGUUGGUGAGGUAAAGGCUCACCAAGGCGACGAUCUGUAGCGGGUCUGAGAGGAUGAUCCGCCACACUGGAACUGAGACACGGUCCAGACUCCUACGGGAGGCAGCAGUGGGGAAUUUUGGACAAUGGGGGCAACCCUGAUCCAGCCAUGCCGCGUGAGUGAAGAAGGCCUUCGGGUUGUAAAGCUCUUUCGGCCGGGAAGAAAUCGUAUCAGCUAAUACCUGGUGCGGAUGACGGUACCGGCAUAAGAAGCACCGGCUAACUACGUGCCAGCAGCCGCGGUAAGAC